GUGCCAACCAGAUAGCUCGACGCGCGAGAACCGUCUGCCGCGCGCUUUGCUUUCGGCCCACUUCGUGAGACAUCGGCAGCAGCCGAGAUCGCCCGAACGCCCCGAUCCCCCGAUAGCGCCGUUUGAUAUCGUCCACGGUGUACCUACUUUCGUACUUUCGUGCCUAACCUACGUACACACGCACUUCACCGUACAGUUGCUAUUAUGUGUUUAUUACAUGUGUACACGUUCCUAUCCACGAUUUUCUACCAAGAGAAUGGACUUGGAAAUGAUUAGUGAAUCUCAACAAACAUGUUUGUGCUUCAUUUCAAUGGCAGUCUUUUGUUAAUGACAAGUCGGCUGUGACUUUUGUAAUUACUAAUUGAGGCAAUUAUCCUUUCGCUGUUGCACAACUGUAGGUUAUGUAAUUUUUACAAUUUUUAAGAAGACGGUUCUCGAGUUUAAAGAGUAUAAAUAAAGAUACCGCAUAUAAAGCAUAUCGCAUCUGACGCCAUGUUUUUAUCUACGUAUGACACUUUCGUGUCAAGUCAACAAAUCGAUAUAUCGCAAGUCAACUUUUGAAGAAAGAGGAUAAAUAGUUGAAUAUUCGAAUAAUAAGUGGAAGUAAGUGUUUUGGAAGUAGAUACGUAUCUACUAUAGCACGCUCAUAGCUUGUUCAUCGAUAGUGUCAUACUUUCAUUGACCUUUUCAUCUAUUGCGCGUUUGUUUCUUUCCAUACCGCGGAUACAAAUAUGUAUUUAAUUCCUACCUAACCUAAUUCUUUUUGAUGGUACGAUAAGUUCUGUGAAAGUUUUACAAAUCGUAAGCAGUAUGAAAGAUCAUGGCAUUCAAUAAAAACUGUGAUUUGUAUCGUAUACAUUUACGGUUACUAGAAAGUUUUUAUUUUG